rnacentral:lncRNA from 1 species
GAGGUUGGAUGGACCACGAUGACCUCAUCAAACCCUGAUUUGGGGCCAUUUUGGGUGAAUUUUGAGCAAAUUUUGAGGUUCUCCACGGCGAGAUGGAUCUCCCUUCGCUAUGGGGCGCACUCGGGGGUCGGCUAUAGGGCAGGGAGAGGGAUUACAGGGCAGUGGAGAUGGAUUUAUGGCCAAGUCGAGGUUGGAUGGACCACGAUGACCUCACCAAACCUCGAUUUGGAGCCAUUUUGGUUGAAUCUUGAGCAAAUUUUGAGGUUCUCCAUGGCGAGAUGGAUCUCCCUUCGCUAUGGGGCGGGCUAUAGGGCCAGGAGGAGGGUGAUGGGGCAGUGGGGUUGGAUUUAUGGCCAAGUCGAGGUUGGAUGGACCACGAUGACCUCAUCAAACCUCGAUUUGGGGCCAUUUUGGGUGAAUUUUCGCCAAGUUUGGAGGUUCUCCAUGGUGAGAUGGAUCUCCCUUCGCUAUGGGGCGCACUCGGGGGUCAGCUAUAGGGCAGGGAGAGGGAUUACAGGGCAGUGGAGAUGGAUUUAUGGCCAAGUCGAGGUUGGAUGGACCACGAUAACCUCACCAAACCCUGAUUUGGGGCCAUUUUGGGUGAAUUUUGAGCAAAUUUUGAGGUUCUCCACGGCGAGAUGGAUCUCCCUUCGCUAUGGGGCGGGCUAUAGGGCCAGGAGGAGGGUGAUGGGGCAGUGGAGAUGGAUUUAUGGCCAAGUCGAGGUUGGAUGGACCACGAUGACCUCCCCAAACCUCGAUUUGGGGCCAUUUUGGGUGAAUUUUGAGCAAAUUUUGAGGUUCUCCACGGCGAGAUGGAUCUCCCUUCGCUAUGGGGCGGGCUAUAGGGCCAGGAGGAGGGUGAUGGGGCAGUGGUCGCUGCCCAGGACGCGGGAGCGGAUCUUGCUGUCGCACAGGGCCCCUUCCAGGCGGCGGGAGAGGAGGAAAUAAUCCAACCUCCACCCCACGUUGCGCUCCCGGGCGCCCCCCAAGUAGGUCCAGAAGGUG